rnacentral:rRNA from 1 species
GGGCCCACACAAGCGGUGGAGCAUGUGGUUUAAUUCGAAAAUACGCGCAGAACCUUACCAGCUCUUGACAUAUAAAUGGAUUUUUUGAGAAAAAAGAUUUUCAUGUUUAUACAGGUGUUGCAUGGCUGUCGUCAGCUCGUGUCGUAAGAUGUUGGGUUAAGUCCUUUAACGAGCGCAACCCCUAUGAAUAGUUGCUAUUCUCCUUGUGGGAAGCACUUUAUUCAGACUGCUAGUGAUAAGCUGGAGGAAGGUAGGGAUGACGUCAAGUCCUCAUGGCCCUUAUGAGCUGGGCUACACACGUGCUACAAUGGUAAUGACAAAAAGAAGCGAUAUCGUGAGUUGGAGCAAAUCUUUAAACAUUAUCUCAGUUCAGAUUGUAGGCUGCAACUCGCCUACAUGAAGGUGGAAUCGCUAGUAA